rnacentral:pre_miRNA from 11 species
UCUCCUCUCAGGGAAGCUUUUUGCUCGCGUUAUGUUUCUCAUUAGAAUAUAAGACGAACAAAAGGUUUGUCUGAGGGCAG